rnacentral:rRNA from 1 species
GAUGAACGCUGGCGGCGUGCCUAAUACAUGCAAGUCGAGCGAACAGACGAGGAGCUUGCUCCUCUGACGUUAGCGGCGGACGGGUGAGUAACACGUGGAUAACCUACCUAUAAGACUGGGAUAACUUCGGGAAACCGGAGCUAAUACCGGAUAAUAUAUUGAACCGCAUGGUUCAAUAGUGAAAGACGGUUUUGCUGUCACUUAUAGAUGGAUCCCCGCCGCAUUAGCUAGUUGGUAAGGUAACGGCUUACCAAGGCAACGAUGCGUAGCCGACCUGAGAGGGUGAUCGGCCACACUGGAACUGAGACACGGUCCAGACUCCUACGGGAGGCAGCAGUAGGGAAUCUUCCGCAAUGGGCGAAAGCUUGACGGAGCAACGCCGCGUGAGUGAUGAAGGUCUUCGGAUCGUAAAACUCUGUUAUUAGGGAAGAACAAAUGUGUAAGUAACUAUGCACGUCUUGACGGUACCUAAUCAGAAAGCCACGGCUAACUACGUG